rnacentral:rRNA from 1 species
AUUGAACGCUAGCGGCAUGCUUAACACAUGCAAGUCGAACGGCAGCGCGGGUAGCUUGCUACCUGGCGGCGAGUGGCGGACGGGUGAGUAAUGCGUAGGAAUCUACCUUAUAGUGGGGGAUAACUCGAGGAAACUCGAGCUAAUACCGCAUAAUCUCUAAGGAGCAAAGCGGGGGACCUUCGGGCCUCGUGCUGUAAGAUGAGCCUACGUCGGAUUAGCUAGUUGGUGGGGUAAUAGCCUACCAAGGCGACGAUCCGUAGCUGGUCUGAGAGGACGAUCAGCCACACUGGGACUGAGACACGGCCCAGACUCCUACGGGAGGCAGCAGUGGGGAAUAUUGGACAAUGGGGGAAACCCUGAUCCAGCAAUGCCGCGUGUGUGAAGAAGGCCUUCGGGUUGUAAAGCACUUUCAGUGGGGAAGAAAGAACCAAAAUUAAUACUUUUGGGUGUUGACGUUACCUACAGAAGAAGCACUGGCUAACUCUGUGCCAGCAGCCGCAGUAA